rnacentral:rRNA from 1 species
AUGGUGGCUACUCCCAUUCUGCACCACCUCCACAUCCUCACGCUCCUCCUCAUAUGCUCCUGUUCCAUGCACGCUUCAGCCAACACCACCACCGCCGUCCCCUGCCUCCCAGACCAAGCCUCGGCCCUCCUCCACCUCAAACAUUCCUUCACACAUGCAAACCUACCGUCAUGGCGAGCUGGAAAAGACUGCUGCCACUGGGAGGGCGUCGCGUGCGACGCAGCCUCCGGAAGGGUCAUCUCCCUUAACCUCAGCAACAUCGACGCAACGAUCCACCGCGUCGACACCGCACUCCUCAACCUCACCUCCCUGAAGAGCUUGAGCCUCACCACCACACGCAUUUCCGAGGGGCUCUCUACACUGAGCAAGCUUCCCUCACUGAACACUCUGGAGCUUCAUGGGUUGAGCUCCUCGGACCUGGUAGGCCCGGAGCUAUCUUCGAUUGGCGAUAUCAGGCAGCUGACAUCUCUGCACCUCGAGGGCUAUGAUUUCUCUCGGUCACAACCCUCUUGGAUCGGCAAUCUGACGGGCUUGGCGCACCUGCGCAUGCACGGUUGCAGUUUCGCCGGGCCAGUGCCUGAUCAGAUUGGCACUCUUGCAAAGCUGACGCUGCUGGAUUUGGAAAAUUGCAACUACACCGGGCAAUCGGUUCCUUCAUGGAUUGGAAACCUUACAAGGUUGACAACGUUGAGUAUCCAAGGUUGCCGGCAUUCUGGGUCGAUUCCCUCGGCAAUCGCAAACUUGACCCGGCUUGAAGUUAUACGGCUAGGGAACAACAGCCUUGUCGGGAAAAUUCCACAAUCGUUGUUCGCUUUUCCAGCAUUGAAAGUGCUUUCCCUAAAGAACAAUCAACUCUCUGGUCAUCUUGAAGACAUUCCUUUCCCUCUAUAUUCAUCCUUGUCUACUGUUGAGAUAAACGACAACCAGUUAACUGGCCAUAUACCCAAAUCAAUCCUUCAGCUUAAACAUCUUGAAUACCUCAACCUUGAAUCAAAUAGAUUGUCAGGCACAAUCAAACUAAGCCCUUUCUGGAGGUUGGAGAGACUCUUUUUUCUUAGUCUAUCCAAUAACAAGCUAUCAAUCGCCGACGAAGAAGGUGCUGACGUUUUAAAAUCUCUUCCUAACAUCUACCAGAUACACCUUGCAUCCUGCAACCUCACAAAAUUUCCGGGUUCACUGAGAUAUCUAGAUAAAGUUUCUGUUCUUGACCUUUCAAGUAAUCAAAUAAAUGAUGUUAUACCAAGUUGGGUAUGGGAGAACUGGAAGGACCAGCUUGAGAGUUUGAACCUCUCGCGCAACAUGUUCACGGCUUUGGAGAAGUUUCCUUCUCUUGUUCAUAUGCCACGCCUAACUGCUCUUGAUCUCAGCUUUAAUAGGCUUCAAGGCAGCAUACCAAUACCGGUAACUGCAGUGUCUGGGAAUGUAUUAGAUUAUUCAAACAAUAACUUCUCUUCCAUUCUUCCUGACUUUGGAAGAUAUAUUAGAAGCUUCUACCUCAAUUUGUCCAAGAAUAAAUUAAAUGGUUAUGUACCAUCUUCCAUCUGCAGUGCAAGCCAUCUCAAUAUCUUGGACCUGUCUUAUAACAAUUUUAGUGGAUCACUCCCAUCAUGCCUUAUUGGAAGUGGGAAACUAACCGUGUUGAAGUUGAGAGAAAAUCAAUUCAACGGGACGUUCCCUGAAAAUAUUAGAGAGGAGUGCAAGUUUCGAACAAUAGAUUUGAACAGAAAUCAAAUUGAAGGUGAACUACCAAGAGCAUUGUUAAAUUGUCAAGACUUAGAGCUUCUUGAUAUUGGUAACAAUCAGGUCCGCGGUUCCUUUCCAUCUUGGUUGGACAUUCUUCCAAAGCUUCGGGUCCUUGUCUUACGGUCCAACCAGCUCAAUGGAACAAUAAGGGAUCUUGAUGGUGACCAUGGAACCACCAACCAGUUCCCUAGUUUGCAAAUACUCUGUUUGGCUUCCAACAGAUUCUAUGGACACCUGCCAAAAGGAUGGUUUAAUAAAUUCAAAGCAAUGAUGGAAAAUGUCAACGAGGAGGGACGAGUUUUAGGCUAUUACACAAACACAACGCAUGGAUUUUAUCAAGACACUGUUACCAUCACACUUAAGGGAUCCGACCUUAUUUUCACCAAGAUUCUAACUACUUUCAAAGCAAUCGAUUUCUCAAACAACUCAUUUGAUGGCCAUUUUCCAGAGUCAAUUGGGAAUCUUGUUUCGCUUCACGGGGUUAAUAUGUCAUCCAACAACUUCACGGGACAAAUGCCAUCUAGCUUCAGUAACUUGUCUCAGCUGGAAUCGUUGGACCUCUCUUGGAACCGGAUUUCAGGAGAAAUCCCGCAAGUGCUGACCUCUCUUACCUCUCUUGCUUGGUUGAAUCUUUCAUACAACAACUUGGUUGGAAGAAUACCGCAGGGUAACCAGUUCUUGUCAUUUCCCAAUAGUUCAUUUGAAGGCAACGUGGGGCUAUGUGGAAAUCCGCUCUCUAAACAAUGUGAGACUACAGAUUCAACUGCUUCAAGUGCAUUGGCCCCUCCUGAACCUUAUAAUUUGUGGCAGGAUAGACUUGAUGCCAUCCUUCUCUUCACAUUUGUUGGCCUGGGGUUUGGAGUGGGCUUUGCAUCGGCAAUUACGUUCCGAAUGUUUUGCCACAUCAAAGGAUUGGACUGCAAGCAAUGCAACAAGGAAGUAUGA